rnacentral:rRNA from 1 species
GACGAACGCUGGCGGCGUGCUUAACACAUGCAAGUCGAGCGGUAAGGCCCUUCGGGGUACACGAGUGGCGAACGGGUGAGUAACACGUGGGUGAUCUGCCCUGCACUUCGGGAUAAGCCUGGGAAACUGGGUCUAAUACCGGAUAGGACCACUGCCUGCAUGGGUGGUGGUGGAAAGCUUUUGCGGGGUGGGAUGGGCCCGCGGCCCAUCAGCUUGUUGGUGGGGUGAUGGCCUACCAAGGCGACGACGGGUAGCCGGCCUGAGAGGGUGACCGGCCACACUGGGACUGAGAUACGGCCCAGACUCCUACGGGAGGCAGCAGUGGGGAAUAUUGCACAAUGGGCGCAAGCCUGAUGCAGCGACGCCGCGUGAGGGAUGACGGCCUUCGGGUUGUAAACCUCUUUCAGCACCGACGAAGCGCAAGUGACGGUAGGUGCAGAAGAAGGACCGGCCAACUACGUGCCAGCCGCCGCCGUAAAAC